AGUUACCAUCAGGUAAGGCUGGGGACUCUAAUGAGGACUGCCAUCGUAAGAUGUGAGGAAGGUGGGGAUGACGUCAAAUCAGCACGGCCCUUACGUCCGGGGCGACACACGUGUUACAAUGGGUGGUACAAAGGGCAGGCUACCUGGCGACAGGAUGCUAAUCUCGAAAACCGCUCUCAGUUCGGAUCGGAGUCUGCAACUCGACUCCGUGAAGCUGGAUUCGCUAGUAAUCGCGCAUCAGCCACGGCGCGGUGAAUACGGUUCCCGGGUCCUU
rnacentral:rRNA from 1 species